GACGAACGCUGGCGGCGUGCCUAACACAUGCAAGUCAACUUGACUGAAGGAGCAAUCUGACAGUAGAGUGGCGCAAGGGUGCGUAACGCGUAAGUAACUUGCCCAAGGUAAGGAAUGACGUCGAGAAAUCGGCGCUAAUACCUCAUAAUGCAGCGGAUCCGCAUUGGAUAAUGUUGUUAAAGGUUUACCGCCUUGGGAUAGGCUUGCGUCUGAUUAGUUAGUUGGUGUGGUAACGGGCACACCAAGGCUACGAUCAGUAACUGGUCUGAGAGGAUGAUCAGUCACACUGGAACUGAGACACGGUCCAGACUCCUACGGGAGGCAGCAGUGAGGAAUAUUGGGCAAUGCUCGAAAGAGUGACCCAGCAACGCCGCGUGGAGGAUGAAGGUAUUC
rnacentral:rRNA from 1 species